GACAGAGGAGGCAAGCGUUAUCCGGAAUUAUUGGGCGUAAAGCGUCCGUAGGUGGUUUGACAAGUCUGGGGGUAAAGCGCGGAGACUAACUCCGGAUCGGCCCUGGAAACUGUCAGACUUGAUUAAGGUAGGGGUUGCGGUAAUUCCCGGUGUAGCGGUGAAAUGCGUAGAUAUCGGGAAGAACACCAGCGGCGAAAGCGCGCAACUCGGCCAUUACUGACUCUGAGGGACGAAAGCUAGGUGAGCGAAUGGG
rnacentral:rRNA from 1 species